AUCAAGUGAGGUCAGAUCUUGG
rnacentral:miRNA from 1 species